UUAAGUAGGUCUAGGAGAGCUGGAGCCUGGCUCCACCCCUUCCUGCAGCACAGGUGAAUUGCCUUCACCUGUGCUCCUCUGGCUGACUCAUGGCUCGCCUCAGGUGAUCAAUCAGAGGUUCAGGCCGUGACUCAGCAGUUCCCAUACAGAGCUGUGAGAAGCUGUGCACCACUUGAGAAGCUCAUCUACCAAUUUAUCUAUCUCACUGCCCAGCCCAGCAGUAAGGUGUUGCAAACUCUGUUAUUAUCCUAUGGUUCAGGAAGACCACAAGCCUUCCUGAAGAUGCCAUGCCCAAGCACAUGAGCAAAGGAACAGUGGACUUGCCUCCUCUUGGGGGAUGCCUGGAUUGGAGGAGGGCCUGUUGUGGUGCUGAGCUCUCCUGCUUGGGACAUGCACACUGCAAGGGAAUGUGGAGCCAGGCUGAGUGGUGGUGCCUCUGGCUUCCAGGAGCACACAAGCUGGGAGCAGGGGUACUGGGGCUCUCUGGAAGGAUCUGCACGUAUUUUCCUUGCUCUGGCUCUUCAGAGAGGCUCAGCCCAACCUCCCCCCCCCCUCCCCAUCAGCACCCACUCUCUGGAAUUUGCAUGGUUUAUCUCAUGCCCCAGCAGGGUCCAAAGCAGCGUGCCGCAAUGAGCCCCUGCUUAUCGCAGCUCUGACA